GACUCAUUUUACUGUGGAUAUAGAUAGUUUUGUACCUGUUUCCUCCAGCAUCUUCACAAGGUCCUUUGCUGUUUUUUUGGGAUUGAUUUGCACUUUUCGCACCACAGUACAUUCAUCUCUAGGAGACAGAACGCGUCUCCUUCCUAACCGGUAUGACGGCUGCAUGGUCCCAUGGUGUUUAUACUUGCGUACUAUUGUUUGUACAGAUGAACGUGGUACCUUCAGGCGUUUGGAAAUUGCUCCCAAGGAUGAACCAGACUUGUGGAGGUCUACAAUUUUUUUCUGAGGUCUUGGCUGAUUUCUUUUGAUUUUGCCAUGAUGUCAAGCAAAGAGGCACUGAGUUUGAAUGUAGCCUUGAAAUACAUCCACAGGUACACCUCCAAUUAACUCAAAUGAUGUCAAUUAGCCUAUCAGAAGCUUCUAAAGCCAUGACAUAAUUUUCUGGAAUUUUCCAAGCUGUUUAAAGGCACAGUCAACUUAGUGUAUGUAAACUUCUGAAACAGUGAAAUUAUAAGUGAAAUAAUCUGUCUGUAAACAAUUGUUGGAAAAAUUACUUGUCAUGCACAAAGGAGAAUUCCUAACCGACUUGCCAAAACUAUAGUUUGUUUACAAGAAAUUUGUGGAGUGGUUGAAAAACAAGUUUUAAUGACUCCAACUUAAGUGUAUGUAAACUUCCGACUUCAACUGUAGGUAAAGGUGACUCUUUCGGUCAGAAGCAUUCGAUUUUGCAAUGCAUACAUUAUUUUGGAUUUGUGUACCCAUGAAAACUGUUUUUACCCACAACAUAAGGAGAUACUAAAUUAUGUAGUUACACUGCAUUUCUGAGAUCACUAUACAAAAAAUUGUCCGACAGCUAGAUUCAGGAUUCUUACAGGGUUCAAGUGUAAUGGCUAAUUUAACUGAUUAAUGCUUAAUAUAUUAUGUAACAACAACUUACACUGCCAUAAAUGCAAGGACAGAAAAGUAAUGUUUUAUGUUAGACUAUUUUGUACAAAUCAGUCAAGACACCAACCAUGAUAAAAGGUUAAACAUACAGUAGGUUUAAAUAAAUGUGUGUUUUUUUACUAUAGCUAUGAUCCCCCCCUUAUCUUUAACGUAAUGACAUAAAAAAAAAAUUGGCAGAUUAUUAUUGAUUACUUACGAACAGCUGUAACAAGUUGUCCAGUGUAGGAAAUCCUCACUGGAACCCUAGUUUAUAGAAAAACCCAUAUAAACCCUGAUUUGAAGAUGCUAUGUAUUAGCCAAUGAGCGGCUUUGAAGCCACAGGUCGGCCAUAUUGGCACUCCCCAGAAGAAUCAGUCUGCCAAUGGAAUUCAAAGGAUUUCAAUGAAAUGUUUCAAAGACAAAAUUGCAUGUAUUUUUGUUGUUGUAGUGGGGACAAUAAAAUGUGUAUUUUCUAAAAUGUAUACUUUAAGGGGAAACUAAACAUCUAUAUAUUUUAUGUUAAGCUCACAUAAUAUAAUUUAAAGUAUGCAUUAAGGUGACUAAUAGAAUAAACAUGGCAAAAAUAAAUGUAGACAUUAAUAAAUGUAUUUCUAUUACUUCCAACACAUUUUUUUACUAUGAUAGGAGUGCCAAGAUGUGGGCGCGGUGGCUUCAAACACUAUAUAUAAUUCGCUGUAACUCACCUCUCCCCCUCCUGGCUGCGGUACGGCAGUUCUGUGGCUGGGCCAUGUGAGGCUGGCCUGUUCAGAAGAGGCUUUAACGGGACUGCUGAGCCACAGCCUGGCUUUUGGACCCAUAAGCUCCUGGAGCCCUGAGGUCUUCAUUGAGGUUGGAGCACUGUGUAAUGUACAUGAACACACACCUUUUGUAAUGUACAUUACACGCCUUUUGUUGUUUUGCUACCACAAAUAUGUCUAGUGCCUGAAAUUAGUUUCAAAUCCUCUUAUAACUGCAGCUGGCCUCCCAGAUAUGGCCAUGUCAUCUUUGGUGAAGGUUGAAGGACUUACACCAUUCUGGCUGUAAGUGUGCGGAUUCAAAAUGCCUAUGAUUCAAUAAGACAUGUCAGUUUAUCUUCCAUGUUUUGUAUUGCCACCUAUCAAAUUGUUGUUUUUCUUUGUGUUCAUGUGAAUUGUCCAGAUCAGCAUGUUCUCCUAUAAACAGCGCUUGCUUUUGUCACGUGUGCAGCUAUGUCUAUUUUUUUUAACUAGGCAAGUCAGUAAAAGCUUAUUUUCAAUGACGGCCUAGGAACAGUGGGUUGUUCAGGGGCAGAACGACAGAUUUUUCCUUGUCAGCUCGGGAUUCGAUCUUGCAAACUUCGGUUACUAGUCCAACGCUCUAACCACUAGGCUACCUGCCGCCCGAAAUGGUGCUCAACGUCUGGGGUGACAAACCUGUUGACUUCCGUGGCAUUUCAUCCGGGCUGGCCCUGUGCCCUAGUCCUCUCUGUCACCUUCUGGGACUGCUGAUGGGACCCUCUGCACACAUCAACAACUACCUCCCACGAAGCAUCGUUAUCUAUCACUCCACAAAAGCCACGGCCCUUGCAUAGCAAGGGGAACAACUACUUCAAGGUCUCAGAGCGAGUGACGUCACCGAUUGAAACGCUUUAAGCGUGCACCCCGCUAACUAGCUAGCCAUUUCACACCGGUUACAUAAACAUUAUUAAAGUGACCAGUGAUUCCAUGUCUAUGUAUAUAGGGUAGCAGCCUCUAAGGUGCAGGGUUGAGUAACUGGCUAGUGAUGGCUAUUUAACAGUCUGAUGGCCUUGAUAGAAGCUGUUUUUCUGUCUCUCGGUCCCAGCUUUGAUGCACCUGUACUGACCUCGCCUUCUGAAGAGAUAUAUUUGCUAUUGGCCUAUUCUCUGAAUGAAGAAAAAAAUAUUUCUGCAUUUAUUUAUUGCACAUUGCCGUGUUGUAGUCUUCAGUUUAGGCUGACAAUUAUUUUGUUAGGUUUAAGGUUGAAUAAAAUUUUAUUUUAAUGAUUAAAUGUAAUUGUUUUAAAUGGAAAGUGCAGUGAUUUCUAUUAUUUGAGAAUUAAUAUGUUUCUAAAUUAUGUUUUGAAAUUCUUGUCUACCUGUAAAGUAUUUUGGCAACAAUUUACAUGGUGUACUUUAUAAAGGGUAUGUUAAUGGUUUAUAAGUAGUCCAGUAGAAUACUUUCUAAAGUUGUUAAGGGUUACCAAUAUUUCUGUAACACCAACAUAAUCUAGCCUAAAUAACACUCAUUGCAAAUCCUUUUGGGGUUUUUAUUCCAAGUAUUGUAAUUGCUGUGAGUUUUGUGUGAAUACUCAUGCAUGUUUUUUAAUAAAGAACUUCUACAUUGUAUUCCUUUAAUUUCGAUUUUUCUUUUGUCAGCAAAAUGUUUAGCUGAAAUAUGUUUAACAUGGAGCUGUCAAUUAUCUCAGCUUCGUCUACAUUUCCUAAACAAAGUGGCAGGGUCAUGGUGUUUAAAUUAC
rnacentral:lncRNA from 1 species